UUUUUGAAACACGUAUCUAGAUAGUGAAUGCUAGCUAACUGGCCCCAAAACUGUGCCCAAAACAUUCACAUAACCUGACCAAGUUGUCGCCUUUAUAGUCACAAAACGUCAUCGCAGCAGUACUGUGUAUCUUUGAAUAAAGGUGAAACUAAAAUUACAUUGCUUGUUUUGGUUUCGUAUGUCUAUCUGUAAUAUAAUAUCCCGCGGGUGCACCUUGCUUAAAUAGGUUAAUUGACAAACAGCGACCUAACGUUCUAACUGUAGUUUUUUAUGCUGUUUGUGCCAAGGUCCCUUAUGCAUUUUAACCCAUUCAAUUGGCUAAUGCAUUUCCAGGGCGACAGACCGACAAUUACUGAACGUUUAGUUUAGGUGUGCAAAUAUUCAGAAUAAAUAAUAUGUGAUAUGAUUUUUACUAGGAUUGUUUUAGCCUUGUUUUGGAGUGAAACAUGUAUCUGUAACAUAGGCUACUGGUAGUUUUUUGCAUGGUUUAAGCGUUUGCACAUGACAGUAACGGACAUGUCCAUCCUUCCUCCAUGGUCUGUGUCUCACAAACAAAGCGCGCUCAGAAUUCAGAGUGACGAACAGAGACGAUGUUCCACCAAUGCCAGUAUCUGGAGACCGGAGAACGGGGCGACUCCACUCUCUUUGAACUGCAUCCAUCCAGAAUUCAGGAAAGAACGGAUUCGACUGAAAGAAGUGCAAAGCGCCCCAUGCUGGGAGAUGCCUCCUCGGAACGUGGAACCCGAGGCGAAUAGGAUUCCAAGAAGCCUUACUGGGAUUCUCCAGAACAUUGCAGCACUGGGUAUUAAGAGGAAAUGUCAUUCAAAUGCGGCUCUGCGCACCAAAUGCUGGUGUAAUUCUCACCGCACAACAAAGGCCCCCGCGUGUCAGAGAAGAAUCCCGGUCCCUAAUUCAACGUGACGCGGCUGAAAGGUGUUCCAGCCGCUCCACAUGUUACCCAGAAACACCGGCUGCCCGAGGCAUCUUCGAAGGUAGCAUGUGAUCAGUGCCAUGGAGUCAGAUUCAGAAAACUUCAAAGCAGACUGCUGGAGCUGGAUAAUCAUCACCUCGUCCCUGAUUCAGUCCAUGUUUUGUCCACAGGCGUUUUUAAGAGCUCCACACUUCUUGUGCAAAAACCAAAAAACGCUGCAGGGCAAAGUCUGAGUCCAUGCUGCUUCUCAAUGGAAAC